CGGAGGAAAAGAAACCAACAGGGAUUGCCUCAGUAACGGCGAGUGAAGCGGCAAAAGCUCAAAUUUUAAAGCUGGCACCUCCGGUGUCCGCGUUGUAAUUUUGUGAGGCAUCUCCGGGUGGGGCGCCGGCCUAAGUUCCUUGGAACAGGACGUCAUAGAGGGUGAGAAUCCCGUGCUUGGCUGGCUGUCCCUGUCCAUGUGAGGUGUCUUCGACGAGUCGAGUUGUUUGGGAAUGCAGCUCAAAAUGGGUGGUAAAUUUCAUCUAAAGCUAAAUAUUGGUGGGAGACCGAUAGCGCACAAGUAGAGUGAUCGAAAGAUGAAAAGCACUUUGAAAAUAGAGUUAAAAAGUACGUGAAAUUGUUGAAAGGGAAGCGCUUGAGACCAGACUUCGGUGGGGAGUGAUCAGCCGUCCUUCUGGGCGGUGCACUUGCCCCCCUCCGGGCCAGCAUCGGUUGGGACGGCGGGAUAAAGGUCCCGGGAAUGUGGCUCCUCUCGGGGAGUGUUAUAGCCCGGGUGAAUGCCGCCAGCCCCGACCGAGGACCGCGCCUUCGGGCUAGGAUGCUUGGCAUAAUGGUCUUCAGCGACCCGUCU
rnacentral:rRNA from 1 species